GAUGAAGAACGCAGCAAAAUGCGAUAAGUAAUGUGAAUUGCAGAAUUCAGUGAAUCAUCGAAUCUUUGAACGCACAUUGCGCCCCCUGGCAUUCCGGGGGGCAUGCCUGUUCGAGCGUCAUUACAACCCUCAAGCUCUGCUUGGUAUUGGGCUCUGCCGGUCCCGGCAGGCCUUAAAAUCAGUGGCGGCGCCACUCGGCUUCAAGCGUAGUAAUUCUUCUCGCUUCGGAGACCCGGGUGCGUGCUAGCCAGCAACCCCCAACUUUCUCAGGUUGACCUCGGAUCAGGUAGGGAUACCCGCUGAACUUAAGCAUAUCAAUAAGCGGAGGA
rnacentral:misc_RNA from 1 species